CCCUUGUGCGCCGAUGAGUUCACUGGCUAUCUCUGUGCCGGCCUAGAUGAGCAGUAUGAUGCUCUUGUUUAGUUGGUCUCCUCCACGGCUCUUACAGAUCCUAUGCCUAUCUGUGAUGUCUAUGCGCAGCUUCUCAAUACCGAAC